UAUCCUAGUGUUUCGAUGUUGGUACAGUUCUACAGUUAUUAUUUAUCUAGUGUUUCGAUGUUGGUACAGUUCUACGUAGAACUGUACCAAUAUCGAAACACUAGAU
rnacentral:pre_miRNA from 1 species